AUUGAACGCUGGCGGCAGGCCUAACACAUGCAAGUCGAACGGUAACAGGAAGCAGCUUGCUGCUUUGCUGACGAGUGGCGGACGGGUGAGUAAUGUCUGGGAAACUGCCUGAUGGAGGGGGAUAACUACUGGAAACGGUAGCUAAUACCGCAUAACGUCGCAAGCCCAAAGAGGGGGACCUUCGUGCCUCUUGCCAUCGGAUGUGCCCAGCUGGGAUUAGCUAGUAGGUGGGGUAACGGCUCACCUAGGCGACGAGCCCUAGCUGGUCUGAGAGGAUGACCAGCCACACUGGAACUGAGACACGGUCCAGACUCCUGCGGGAGGCAGCAGUGGGGAAUAUUGCACAAUGGGCGCAAGCCUGAUGCAGCCAUGCCGCGUGUAUGAAGAAGGCCUUCGGGUUGUAAAGUACUUUCAGCGGGGAGGAAGGGAGUAAAGUUAAUACCUUUGCUCAUUGACGUUACCCGCAGAAGAAGCACCGGCUAACUCCGUG
rnacentral:rRNA from 1 species